GCCUGUAGCCAUACUAAAACAAAUGUAUCUGAGCUCAUCUGAUCUCAUGAACUAAGCAGUUCUGAACUUUGCCAGUACUUGGGUGGGAGACCAUUUGAGGAUCCCAUGUAUUGAGUGAU
rnacentral:rRNA from 1 species